AUUGGCCCUGUGGAACAGAUCCUAACAUGUCACACUAAAGUGUUUGCACUACAAAGGCUUAUUGUGAUGGAGUUUAGCCAAAGGAGAUGAGAAUAGGAAGACACAAGAAAAUAUUUCCAAGGAAUUGAGGCUGUGGCAAACAGUGGCUGCUCUCUGCUCUGACAGAGCAAAUAUUUUUGUACCUGCAAAUCUUGAGAUUUUCAGUGACAGACAGACGAAAUCUCAGCAGUGUUUAAGCCAUGUGCAGCCAUGGGAUCUGUGUCUCUGCUGAACUGGACUAGAAAACUGUUUCUCUGCUAACUAGAGGAGGAGAAAACUAAAUGAGACUCACCGAGACAAAGACAGCUGUUGUGAGUCCCAUUUCUCCCUGACCUGCAGGCUCUCACAUUCCCAAAAUCCACAGUGUGGUGGUGGUCUGCCAGGACUUGUAGGCAUCUGCUUAUUGCCUAAGUGAGACUCCCAUCAUGCGAAACAGGACAGAGUUUUCUACCUGAUGUUUUCUACCUGCUGUGUCUCACUGCCGUGCAGCCCCUCCACCCUCUGUGGGGGUGUCCACUGCAAUCCUCAGAGCAUCAACCUGACUGAUCUCAUCCAAAUUGCAUCUUCAAUGGUAGAAAUUUUGGUAUGACAGACAGCUUCAGGCCAUAAAUAAAUCUCCUGAA